rnacentral:rRNA from 1 species
AGAGUGAACGCUGGCGGCAGGCCUAACACAUGCAAGUCGAACGGCAGCACAGAGGAGCUUGCUCCUUGGGUGGCGAGUGGCGGACGGGUGAGGAAUACAUCGGAAUCUGCCCGAUCGUGGGGGAUAACGUAGGGAAACUUACGCUAAUACCGCAUACGACCUUAGGGUGAAAGCGUGGGACCGCAAGGCCACGCGCGAUUGGAUGAGCCGAUGUCGGAUUAGCUUGUUGGCGGGGUAAAGCCACCAAGGCGACGAUCCGUAGCUGGUCUGAGAGGAUGAUCAGCCACACUGGAACUGAGACACGGUCCAGACUCCGUACGGGAGCAGCAGUGGGAAUAUUGGACAAGU